rnacentral:rRNA from 1 species
AGUGAACGCUGGCGGUAGGCCUAACACAUGCAAGUCGAACGGCAGCACAGUAAGAGCUUGCUCUUACGGGUGGCGAGUGGCGGACGGGUGAGGAAUACAUCGGAAUCUACUUUUUCGUGGGGGAUAACGUAGGGAAACUUACGCUAAUACCGCAUACGACCUACGGGUGAAAGCAGGGGAUCUUCGGACCUUGCGCGAUUGAAUGAGCCGAUGUCGGAUUAGCUAGUUGGCGGGGUAAAGGCCCACCAAGGCGACGAUCCGUAGCUGGUCUGAGAGGAUGAUCAGCCACACUGGAACUGAGACACGGUCCAGACUCCUGCGGGAGGCAGCAGUGGGGAAUAUUGGACAAUGGGCGAAAGCCUGACCCAGCCAUACCGCGUGGGUGAAGAAGGCCUUCGGGUUGUAAAGCCCUUUUGUUGGGAAAGAAAAGCAGCAGGUUAAUACCCCGCUGUUCUGACGGUACCCAAAGAAUAAGCACCGGCUAACUUCGUG